ensembl:lncRNA
GAUUGAGUGGAGAGAGGAGGCUUUCAACGAACGAUAUAUCAUGAAGAGAUAUGUGAAAAACACCUUGAGGAUUGAUUCUAAACAACGUUUACCAUGUUUCAGUCGAUAUUAUGGAGUUAAUUUGGAAAAAUUUCGGCGUUUUGAAGACUGAAUUUUCGUUUUUUUUUGGUAGCCAAACCUGACGCACCAAACGGAGCAAUUUCUCCUAAACAAAUAAUCUUUCAGGAAAAACUGAGCAUUUGCCAACUAACUGAGAGUCUCCUCAUUGAAAACAUCUGAAGUUCUUCAAAGGAAAAACUGAGCAUUUGCUAUCUAACUGAGAGUCUCCUCAUUGAAAACAUCUGAAGUUCUUCAAAGGACCUGAGCCCUAGGACCAUGACCCAGGACUACCUGACAUGAUGACUCCUUGCUGUCCCCAGUCCACCUGGCCGUGCUGCUGCUCCAGUUUCAACUGUUCUGCC